GGUUGUGUUGUUGGCAUGUAUGCUUGUGUUCACAUGACAUUGUUUUUCUAUGCAGCAUGUUAAUUUGAGAAUUGGGGCAAAGUUGGUUGGUUGGUUGGUACUAUUCGAUCUAUUUUAUGAGAAUAUUUUGAGUGGUUAAGAGGCAACCUAGUCCACAGUCUCGAGUCAUAAUUUGGGUUUAUAUUAAUGGAAAAUCAAUGCAAACAUAUUUUUAGUAGGGUGAGGCCUGGUCUACUUCUUAUCUCUUGCAAUGUGCCUUUUCUAUUCCUUAGUUACUUUGAUACGUGGAAGUUAGUAUGAGAUACUUGUUUAAGACAUAUGUAGGACACUCUGGGGGUGUUUUGAAUUUAACUUGACAUAAAAAAGUGUAAGCAUUUAAUGCUGUGGAUGGAAGCCUCUGCAGCUACUUGCAUAUUUGUAAGCUCGGUUGGGAAACAGUUUGUCCUCUUACUUUGAAGUCCAGGUGCCCAAAUUUUUAUUUUUUCACCUAUUAUUUAGCAUUAAUUCUAUGUCCAGCAAAGUAGACAGAUGUUUUGUGUUUGAUGUGAAACCACAUCCAACUUGACAACUACUUUCUUUUGUUUUUUUGUUUUUUUUUUUUCCUUUAAAGGGGGGUGGGGGGUUGGUUCAUUCUUUUCUCCAAGUAUAAUUCUCGCUAGUAUAACGGGGUUUAUACAAUUAUGUAAUUAAAUUUUCUGACUGGUAGCACUUAAGUUUAAUAUAGUUACAUAUGCUAUUUAAUAGUAUUAAAAAUUCUGCAUAUUGAACAUUAGAUUCUGGGAACUCGCAGAUAUGGUAGAGCAAUCUUCAGAUGGUCUUUCUGGCAAUUGGGCCAGGCACAGGAACAGGUCAUGGGUUUUUAAUGUUUCUCUUGAAGUUUCUGGAAUCUCUUUAAAAGCUUGCAUUGCAAGAUUGGGGGUUUUGAUGUUAGAGAAAUGCUGGUGAGGGAGUGAUGAGCUUUGCUUAUGAGAAGCACUUCAUCUUCUGAUGCCUGUGGGGAAUAGAAUGUUAUUUGGGCUAUAAGCCAUUGCCAUUAUUCUUUUGCAUAUAUUAUAUAUUAAUUUAUUUUUGAUAUGUUUGAUUUCAUGUCUUGAAGUUUUAGGUUUUAGAUGACCUGUAGUUUCCUUAUUUAUGUAUUUUUCAAAGGCUUGUUCACUGUUAGCAAUGCUUUGAUUGAAUAUAAGUGUAACUAUGGAAUUGAUUGCCAUUCUCGGUAGUCAUUGCUUCUGAAGAGACUUUUUUGGAUAUCUUGCACAAUUUUCUUUGCCCAUUCAUACUCUCCUUACAAGUACUUACAUUUUCUGACAAGAAACUUUAUACAAUUUGUGAAUGGUGUCUUAUUUAUCUAGCUUUCCCAAUGAUGAGACCCUACAACCCAAGCUUUCUCUAUAAUCAUUACCAAGAACUGAUUGGAUCGUGCAUUUCCUUUUUUUUGUCUUACCUGGGUAUAAUGUGAUCAUGUCAAAAGUAUGGGUUUACAAACGAAUAUAGGACUGUAGACCUAAUCUUUAAGGUCUCAAUUUUGUUCUAUCUGUUGUGUGGAAAUAUAAGCUUUUAACGGGUUCCAAGUUAAUGCAAUUAGGUCCUUGGGUACUGCCAUCAAUACAACAUGAUGCUGUUUCCGUUUAUGAUUAUAUUGGUCCCAAUGUUUUCAUUACCUUUAACUGCCACGUCUUUCUCCAGGACUAUAUACUUGGGUUUGGCCUUUUUACACAUAGUGGAGAAUAAUUUGCUGCCAUUUUGGGAUUGUUCUUUUCUUCCUUUUCGUUUGCAAUCCAAG